rnacentral:rRNA from 1 species
AGUGAACGCUGGCGGUAGGCCUAACACAUGCCAGUCGAACGGCAGCACAGUAAGAGCUUGCUCUUACGGGUGGCGAGUGGCGGACGGGUGAGGCAUACAUCGGAAUCUACUUUUUCUUGGGGGAUAACGUAGGGAAACUUACGCUAAUACCGCAUACGACCUACGGGUGAAAGCAGGGGAUCUUCGGACCUUGCGCGAUUGAAUGAGCCGAUGUCGGAUUAGCUAGUUGGCGGGGUAAAGGCCCACCAAGGCGACGAUCCGUAGCUGGUCUGAGAGGAUGAUCAGCCACACUGGAACUGAGACACGGUCCAGACUCCUACGGGAGGCAGCAGUGGGGAAUAUUGGACAAUGGGCGCAAGCCUGAUCCAGCCAUACCGCGUGGGUGAAGAAGGCCUUCGGGUUGUAAAGCCCUUUUGUUGGGAAAGAAAAGCAGCAGGUUAAUACCCCGCUGUUCUGACGGUACCCAAAGAAUAAGCACCGGCUAACUUCGUG